CAGGCCUUUCUUUGGCUGAAUAUAUUCCAUUGUUGGGUAGAUCACAUUUUGUGGAUCCAUUCAACUGUUGAUGGACACUUGGGUUGUUUGGAUUUAGGGGAGAUCAUGGUUUGUGCUGCUGUGGACACUGCUACACAAACAGUUCCAUUUUACAGAUGAAGACACCAAGGCUGAUAGCCAGUGGGCGAGAUCACUGACCUUUGAGUGGGCACUUUCUGCCUCCUCGCCUGCCAUCUGUCUCAGAGGCUCGGAUGGCAGCAUUGCUCUAGCAGCUUCCGAGAGCACCUCCCACGCCAGAGGCCUGCCCCCAGCCCUCGACUCCUCUCCACCUUCGGAGGAAGCUCCAGCCAAGACAAACUGCUCAGCCAGCACUUCGGGACAACCCAACUGCUGUUGGGCAACAUGGCAACAUGGUCAUCCCACCGAACCCAACACGACAGCGAACGUGAAGAGCUAUGACCGCCUCAGCCAACCCGGAGAGAUGCCCCGCACCCAACGUGAACUGGAAGCAGCUACAGAAGGAUAAAUCCAGGGGGAAGCUCUUCAUUAGAUGUACGGAAGCACACAAAACGAUACGAGGUAAUGUUCAUGGGCGUAUAGACACGUAGCGGAGAAGCAGGAAAGCACUCAGGGGAGUAGCAAAUGCUAGAAUCCCAGCAGCAGUCACGUCCAGGUACAGAGGGAGGACGGAUGAGGGCGGGAGGGCCCAGAGGGGCCGCCGCUGGACUUCACUUCUUUAUGAAAAUUGAAGCAAAUAUGAAAAUAACACUUGUCGGUGAGUAUGCGGGUGUUCAUCACAUUCUUUUCUGUCCUGAGCUGCGUGUUUGUUGUAUAUAAGGAUAAAAAUAAAUGAUUAAUGUAACAUGCAGAGGGACUGGGGCGUUCUGAUACCAUUUGAGGCACUGAUUCUGGGGCCUUCCAGGGGGAGGCCUGACCUCAUUCCUGCCCUUGUGUUCAGAACCACAAGACCUCUUGCAUCUGAAAACGUCCCGUUUUGCUUCAACCACAGUGAAUGGCUAACCCCCGGCUGAGCAC
rnacentral:lncRNA from 1 species